rnacentral:rRNA from 1 species
UACGGGGGGGGCAAGCGUUGUUCGGAAUUACUGGGCGUAAAGGGUUCGUAGGCGGCCAACUAAGUCGGACGUGAAAUCCCCAGGCUCAACCUGGGAACUGCGUCCGAUACUGGAUGGCUUGAAUUCGGGAGAGGGAUGCAGAAUUCCAGGUGUAGCGGUGAAAUGCGUAGAUAUCUGGAGGAACACCGGUGGCGAAGGCGACAUCCUGGACCAACACUGACGCUGAGGAGCGAAAGCCAGGGGAGCAAACGGG